UACGAAGGGGGCGAGCGUUGUUCGGAGUUACUGGGCGUAAAGGGCGCGUAGGCGGCGAUCCAAGUUAGGCGUGAAAGCCCCGGGCUUAACCUGGGAAUUGCGCUUAAGACUGGACUGCUUGAGUGCGGGAGAGGUGAGUGGAACUCCGAGUGUAGAGGUGAAAUUCGUAGAUAUUCGGAAGAACACCCGUGGCUAAGGCGGCUCUCUAGUACGGUACUGACGCUGAGACGCGAAAGCGUGGGGAGCGAACAGG
rnacentral:rRNA from 1 species